rnacentral:snoRNA from 1 species
CUGCGGUGAUGAUCAUCUUAGGACACCUUUGGAUUAAAGAUGAAACUAAUCUGUUUAGUCUGAGCAGC